rnacentral:rRNA from 1 species
AGCAGUCGCCGCGGUAAUACGAGGGGGGCAAGCGUUGUUCGGAAUUAUUGGGCGUAAAGGGCGCGUAGGCGGUUUGACAAGUUUGGUGUGAAAUCUAUGGGCUCAACCCAUAGCCUGCAUCGAAAACUGUCGGGCUUGAGUAUGGGAGAGGUGAGUGGAAUUUCCGGUGUAGCGGUGAAAUGCGUAGAUAUCGGAAGGAACACCUGUGGCGAAAGCGGCUCACUGGACCAUUACUGACGCUGAGGCGCGAAAGCUAGGGGAGCAAACAGGAUUAGAUACCCGCGUAGUCCCUGUCUCUUAUAA